rnacentral:misc_RNA from 1 species
GUGAGUCAUCGAAUCUUUGAACGCACAUUGCGCCCUCCGGUAUUCCGGAGGGCAUGCCUGUUCGAGCGUCAUUUCAACCCUCAAGCACUGCUUGGUGUUGGGGCACUGCCUUUUCCGGAAGGCAGGCCCUGAAAUUCAGUGGCGAGCUCGCCAGGACCCCGAGCGCAGUAGUUAAACCCUCGCUUUGGAAGGCCCUGGCGGUGCCCUGCCGUUAAACCCCCCAACUCUUGAAAAUUUGACCUCGGAUCAGGUAGGAAUACCCGCUGAACUUAAGCAUAUCAAUAAGCGGAGGA